rnacentral:rRNA from 1 species
GCGCGAAACCUCCGCAAUGUGAGAAAUCGCGACGGGGGGAUCCCAAGUGCCAUUCUUAACGGGAUGGCUUUUCAUUAGUGUAAAGAGCUUUUGGAAUAAGAGCUGGGCAAGACCGGUGCCAGCCGCCGCGGUAACACCGGCAGCUCUAGUGGUAGCAGUUUUUAUUGGGCCUAAAGCGUCCGUAGCCGGUUUAAUAAGUCUCUGGUGAAAUCCUGCAGCUUAACUGUGGGAAUUGCUGGAGAUACUAUUAGACUUGAGAUCGGGAGAGGUUAGAGGUACUCCCAGGGUAGAGGUGAAAUUCUGUAAUCCUGGGAGGACCGCCUGUUGCGAAGGCGUCUGACUGGAACGAUUCUGACGGUGAGGGACAAAGCUAGGGGCGCGAACCGGAUUAGAUACCGGGUAGUCCUAGCUGUAAACGAUGCGGACUUGGUGUUGGGGUGGCUUUGAGCUGUCCCAGUGCCGAGGAGCUGUAAGUCGCGCCUGGAGUACGGUCGCAGACUGAACUUAAAGGAAUUGGCGGGGAGCGACCAACG